GAAACCACAGAGCAAUGUGUGUUCUGCUCUACCUCCCCUGGGAGGCUCCCAGGGAAGGAGAAGCGGGACAGAGAACAAAGGCAUGCUGGGAACAAGCUCUUUUAUUCAAAGAGCCCACAGGGACAUGUAACUCGCUGCAGAAAUAACCUCACAGCACAGGAGGGGGAGGCGAUUCCACAUCCAGGGAUGGAACACUGCACGCUGAAGGGCAGCACGGGCCACUGCUGUUGGAAGAGCAGCAAGGCUUAGCAGCAUCACAAAUGCUAUUCUUUUCCCUUCAAAGAACCAUGAGAACAGGGUCAACAGACACAGCUUUGCCUCUAGCAGCCUGUCCUUCCAGUACAUCCAUGGGCCUGCCCAGCUCAGCACAGCUCCUCCAGCCUGUGUGGGUUUUGGGCCCAACAACAGCACACAAAGGCCACAUCAAAACAUAAGGCACCUGCUGAAGCCAGCUGCCAGGGUCCACGAGUGGCAGCCCCAGCUCUGCUGGGAUGCUGCUGGGAUCUGGCUGUGUUCUGCAGUGCUGGACCGAGUGUGCAGUCGGGCUGGGGCACCCAGCAAGGAGAAUCCAUGACCAGCCCUGGCUGCAGCAGCAGGGAGCUGGAACAUGGGGAUCUUCCUGGUUUAGGUGGCAGCCCUCUCCUUUGUCACAGAUGUCCCCCAGCAAUGGCUGAGGGCUAAAGACCUUCACAUGGCCAUGUCCUCUCCAGAGUGAGUGCUGCUGUUAGGAUCACAUCCCACCACCUCCAUGGAGAAACCUCCUGUGUCCACUUCAAUGCUGUGAAUGCUGAAGUUGCCCAGGCCCUGUAAAAAAAGAGUUAACGGGGGAGUAGUCAGCAAGGGACUCACCUCUCACUAAACAGUCUUGUCCUACUUGUGGUUGGAGGGGACGGAUGCAGGCUUCUGCAAGCAGGCUUCUGCAAAUGUGCUGGGCUUUGCAAACAGCUUUUGGCCAAUGUAACAGCUGGGGGCACAUAUCUCACCUCCGUUUUUGCUAGAAUUUGGUGCAAAGUCUCUUUUUGCUGAGGUUCUUUGGUUAAGACGUAAAGGAAGCCACCACCACCAGCACCAGCCAAGCACUGCCCGUAGACAUAAGGCUGCAGAGCAUCCAUCAUGCGCCCGACGGCUAACGGCUCGCACCCAGGGGCCAUGCAUUUCUUCUGCUGCCAGUAGACAUCCAGACACUUGCCAAUGAGUGGCAGGUUUCCUUGCCUCAAGGCCCGGGCACACUCCUCGGCGUUAUUCACCAGAGCGUCAGCAUUUUGUACGAUGGAAGGCAGCCUGGC
rnacentral:lncRNA from 1 species